rnacentral:tRNA from 1 species
GGGCGCAUAGCUCAGCGAUUAGAGCGUUCGGUUUACACCCGAAAGGUCCUAGGUUUGAAUCCUAGUGCGCCCA